CUUCGCUAACGGGCAGAAGGUGUUUGGAAAUUCCCGUGGGGAAAGGGCAUCAGCUUCAUAUAUCCCUCCAUAAAUGCUUGAGAAGAGGAAAGUAAUGGAGACAUUAGUGGAAGUUUUACAAUGUUUGGAUGAUCAACUUCUGAUGACUGCCAGCAUUCCUUGACUUGUGACUGCAUCACUUCAGUUUUCAAGGAAGGUCAGUAUCUUAAAUCACUCUCUACUCUGUCUUCACAUUGGAUUUCUUUGUGUGUAGAAUCUCUUCUUCCUCCCUUUUAAAGGAUACAUAUAAUUGCAUUUAGGGUACAAUCCUAUAGUCCAGGAUAAUCUCCCCAUCUCAAAAUCCUUAACUUAAUCAUAGGUACAAAGACUUCUUUGUACCUUUGUCCUGAUUUUAGAGCCUGAUAUCUUUGGGGGCCAUUAUUUAGUCUAUUAGAGUAAGAAAAGACAAAAGAGAGGACUUAUAGGGACAAGAGAAUGGGAAAGGACUCUGCUCAAUUUCUUCUCCCAAGUUUGCUAGUCAGGUAAAUCACUUCUUGCGGGAGAAUAAAUGAGUGAGAGAAGUGUUCUUGAUUGUACCUUUCAAAUACUUUUUAACUGUGACUCUUAGUAAGAUAUACAUUUUACGUUGUGAUCCACAGAACAAAUACGUACUUGGACACAUAGAUACAGAAACACACACAUAUGCACACACAGAUACACAUUGAAUUUAAUGUGUAUUUAUUUAUUUAUUAUUAUUUUCUACUCUUGCACAUUUUUUAAGUGCUUGAAUGGCAAACAUAGUUUAGAGCAUAUAGCAGAGAAAGUGGUAAAGUUUCUCCAAUAGAGAAGCUACUACACCAGAGGUUUAUAGUAAUAGGUACAAACUUUUCAGACCUCUUAAAUAGGAAUAUGAAAAAAUCUUUGAAAGGAAACAAAUCCUAUAUAAUUUAAGGGAUAGAUCAGCAGCCUCAUCAGGUUAGGAAGACUUGACAUUGCUGAGUCACUUUCUAUAUUGAUGUUAUAUUGCCUUCUUCACCUUUCCUUCUCAGUAAUCAGUUUAUAUUUUGGGACAGCUCAGUGGAUUAGCUCAUUAAUAUGUACCCAUAGAGCUCUGAAUCUAAAGUGCUAUGUUCUAUUACUAACAGGAAUCCAGGUAUCAGUGAGAUCAUUCUUAGGUGGGUAUAGCCAUGAAUUCCCACGACCACUUACCCUGAAAUGAAAACGACACUCUCAAAUUAGUUUAAAAUGUUAAUUCACAAUCAAAAGUGAUUGUUAGAGACGAUCUCUCAGAGUGAUAUAACCUGUCAUUACUACUAGAUCUAUAUUAAAAACAGCAAAUGAGGAGCGCC